rnacentral:rRNA from 1 species
UACGGGGGGGGCAAGCGUUGUUCGGAAUUACUGGGCGUAAAGGGCUCGUAGGCGGCCAACUAAGUCAGACGUGAAAUCCCCAGGCUCAACCUGGGAACUGCGUCUGAUACUGGAUGGCUUGAAUCCGGGAGAGGGAUGCAGAAUUCCAGGUGUAGCGGUGAAAUGCGUAGAUAUCUGGAGGAAUACCGGUGGCGAAGGCGGCAUCCUGGACCGGCAUUGACGCUGAGGAGCGAAAGCGUGGGGAGCGAACGGG